AGCAGCAGCCACGGGAAUACGAGGGGGGCAAGCGUUGUUCGGAAUUAUUGGGCGUAAAGGGUGCGUAGGCGGCUUGACAAGUCUUGUGUGAAAUCUAUGGGCUCAACCCAUAGUCUGCACGGGAAACUGUCGGGCUUGAGAAUGGGAGAGGUGAGUGGAAUUUCCGGUGUAGCGGUGAAAUGCGUAGAUAUCGGAAGGAACACCUGUGGCGAAAGCGGCUCACUGGACCAUUUCUGACGCUGAUGCACGAAAGCUAGGGGAGCAAACAGGAUUAGAUACCCCCGUAGUCCCUGUCUCUUAUAC
rnacentral:rRNA from 1 species